GCCGCAUUAGCACAAUGGUAGUGCGUCGCUUUCCUAUGACAGGUCGGUGAAACACGAUGUACAAUUGAAGGCGAAGGUUGCGGGUUCGAGUCCCGUGUGUGGUU